rnacentral:rRNA from 1 species
UACGUAGGGUGCGAGCGUUGUCCGGAAUUAUUGGGCGUAAAGGGCUCGUAGGUGGCCAACUAAGUCAGACGUGAAAUCCCUCAGCUUAACUGGGGAACUGCGUCUGAUACUGGAUGGCUUGAGUUUGGGAGAGGGAUGCGGAAUUCCAGGUGUAGCGGUGAAAUGCGUAGAUAUCUGGAGGAACACCGGUGGCGAAGGCGGCAUCCUGGACCAACACUGACACUGAUGAGCGAAAGCCAGGGGAGCAAACGGG